GUGCACGUGAUGUAAACUUAAUCAUGUCUGAAUAUUUGUGAUGCAUUCAAAGGAACCACUGAUGCCA
ensembl:snoRNA SNORD42 Small nucleolar RNA SNORD42